rnacentral:rRNA from 1 species
AUUGAACGCUGGCGGCAGGCCUAACACAUGCAAGUCGAGCGAGCGGCGGACGGGUGAGUAAUGCCUGGGAAUUGCCCAGUCGAGGGGGAUAACAGGUGGAAACGACUGCUAAUACCUCAUACGGGUGGAGGGCCCAGGUGGGAUUAGCUAGUUGGUGAGGUAAUGGCUCACCAAGGCGACGAUCCCUGGCGGGUCGGAGAGGAUGAUCAGCCACACUGUAACUGAGACACGGUCCAUGCUCCUACGGGAGGCAGCAGUGGGGAAUAUUGCACAAUGGGCGAAACCCUGAUGCAGCAAUGCCGCGUGUGGGAAGAAGGCCUUAGGGUUGUAAAGCACGUUCAGCGAGGAGGCGUUACUCGAAGAAGAAGCACCGGCUAACUCCGUGCCAGCAGCCGCGGUAAUUC